rnacentral:rRNA from 1 species
AAUGAACGCUGGCGGCAUGCCUAACACAUGCAAGUCGAACGAGACCUCCUGGUAUAGUGGCGCACGGGUGUGUAACGUGUGGGAACCUGCCCUUAGGCUCGGACUAACCCCUCGCAAGGGGUGCUAAUACCGGAUAAUGUCUUCGGACCAAACGUCUAUCGCCCUUGGAGGGGCCCGCGUUGGAUUAGCUAGUUCGUAGGGUAAAAGCCUACGAAGGCGACGAUCCAUAGCUGGUUUGAGAGCAUCAUGCACCACACUGGUACUGCGACAGGACCCAGACUCGUACGGGAGGCCGGAGUGGGGAAUAAUGGACGAGGGGAGAAAGGCUGAUCCAGCCAUGCCGGGUGAAUGAUGAAGGCGUUAGGGUUGUAUAGAUCUUUUAGCCGGGAGGAUAGUGACGGUGCCGGGGGAAUAAGCUCCGGCUAACUACGUG